UCCUCUGGCAGGCGGAGGAGGGUCUGUCUCCUCCUGCCCGGUUAGCUUCCGUCCUCCAUUUUCCCCGAUUUUGUCUCUCCACUUCCCGUAGGUGAUGGAUGGUUAAAGACGUCUCUGCAGCCCCCAGAGCGCGGAGCCGGGGCUGGGGAGACCCCCUGAGGCGGGAGUUUCGCUGGCUGGAGGAGACUCCCGUUAUUCUGAAAAAUGUUUCCCAGCAGGAGAGGUGGGGCGGGUGCAGACGGAGACCUCCGGGACUGGCUGCCUCUCUGUCUGGCCCCGGGGAGGCAGCAGGAUGCAGAGGAGCCCGGAGAAGACCACUGACCCGUGCUGGCUGUGUGGCCUCAGGCUCGCCGGUGGCCUGCUCUGAACUCAGCUGCAAAGGAAAUCCACCAAAAGGCAAGAAUGUUCAUAGCAGCUUUCUUCAUAGUAGCCCCAAACUAGAAAGAGCCUAAAUGUCCAUCAGCAGUAGAAU